rnacentral:rRNA from 1 species
CAUCGAGACUCCUACGGGAGGCAGCAUGGGGGAAUAUUGCACAAUGGGGGCGCAAGCCUGAUGCAGCCAUGCCGCGUGUGUGAAGAAGGCCUUCGGGUUGUAAAGCACUUUCAGCAGUGAGGAAGGCGGAGUCGUUAAUAGCGGCCUCGUUUGACGUUAGCUGCAGAAGAAGCACCGGCUAACUCCGUGCCAGCAGCCGCGGUAAUACGGAGGGUGCGAGCGUUAAUCGGAAUUACUGGGCGUAAAGCGCAUGCAGGUGGUUUGUUAAGUCAGAUGUGAAAGCCCCGGGGCUCAACCUCGGAAUUGCAUUUGAAACUGGCAGACUAGAGUACUGUAGAGGGGGUAGAAUUUCAGGUGUAGCGGUGAAAUGCGUAGAGAUCUGAAGGAAUACCGGUGGCGAAGGCGGCCCCCUGGACAGAUACUGACACUCAGAUGCGAAAGCGUGGGGAGCAAACAGGAUUAGAUACCCUGGUAG